GACGAACGCUGGCGGCGUGCUUAACACAUGCAAGUCGAACGAGUGGCGAACGGGGGGGUAGCACGUGGGUUACCUGCCCUGCACUUCGGGAUAAGCCGGGGGAAAUGGGUCUGAUACAGGAGAGUGAGGGGUGGGUCCGCGGCCUAUCAGCGUGUGGGCGGGGUAAGGGCUACCAAGUCGCGACGGGUAGCCGGCCUGAGAGGGUGGACGGCCACAUUGGGACUGAGACACGGCCCAGACUCCUACGGGAGGCAGCAGUGGGGAAUAUUGGACAAUGGGCGGAAGCCUGAUGGAGCGACGCCGCGUGGGUGAUGACGGCUUUCGGGUCGUAAAGUACUUUCAGCAGGGAGGCGUUACCUGCCCAGGAAGCCCCGGCUAUCUACGUGCCAGCAGCCGCGGUAAUUC
rnacentral:rRNA from 1 species